GACGAACGCUGGCGGCGUGCUUAACACAUGCAAGUCGUACGGUAAGGCCCUUUCGGGGGUACACGAGUGGCGAACGGGUGAGUAACACGUGAUUAACCUGCCCACAACUUUGGGAUAACGCUAGGAAACUGGUGCUAAUACUGGAUAUGUGCUCCUGCUGCAUGGUGGGGGUUGGAAAGCUCCGGCGGUUGUGGAUGGACUCGCGGCCUAUCAGCUUGUUGGUGGGGUAGUGGCCUACCAAGGCGGCGACGGGUAGCCGGCCUGAGAGGGUGACCGGCCACAUUGGGACUGAGAUACGGCCCAGACUCCUACGGGAGGCAGCAGUGGGGAAUAUUGCACAAUGGGCGCAAGCCUGAUGCAGCAACGCCGCGUGCGGGAUGACGGCCUUCGGGUUGUAAACCGCUUUCAGCAGGGACGAAGCUUUUUGUGACGGUACCUGCAGAAGAAGCACCGGCUAACUACGUG
rnacentral:rRNA from 1 species